rnacentral:rRNA from 1 species
AGAGUUUGAUCCUGGCUCAGGAUGAACGCUAGCUACAGGCUUAACACAUGCAAGUCGAGGGGAAACGAUAUUGGAAGCUUGCUUCCGAUAGGCGUCGACCGGCGCACGGGUGAGUAACGCGUAUCCAACCUGCCCACCACUUGGGGAUAACCUUGCGAAAGUAAGACUAAUACCCAAUGACGUCUCUAGAAGACAUCUGAAAGAGAUUAAAGAUUUAUCGGUGAUGGAUGGGGAUGCGUCUGAUUAGCUUGUUGGCGGGGUAACGGCCACCAAGGCUACGAUCAGUAGGGGUUCUGAGAGGAAGGUCCCCCANAUUGGAACUGGAGACACGGUCCAAACUCCUAACGGGGAGGCA